UAUGUAAUGACCCAUUUUAAUGGUCAUUAAAGUGGUGGUCUUUUUGUUCUUUUUUUUUUAGGUAAGUCUUGUUGAGCUGGAAGAUGGCUUUCUGGUGUUGCAAGAGCGUUCUGAGCUGUGGAUCACAAGCAGAGAGAGAUGUUUAACUUCAGUUUCACUCCUGACGAAAGUUUUCCUGGAUUUCAGGUUUCUGCCACCAUGGAGCCGGGCAGAGCAUGUCAGGAGAGACGACUGCCUGGCUCACAGCACUCUGGUUAAGGGAAGGCUGGUUCAGUGUAGACCAAAGCAACUGACUGCAGACAACAGUCACUUGACUCUUUUCAGGAGGCUGAAAGUCACCCACAGACAGUCACGCUCCCUGGAGACGACGCAUGGCAGCACAUGGCUGCAGGGAAAAGGCAGGAGCCCCGUGCACGUCGCUGCCCACCUCUGCAAGUCCCCGGAAAGGCUGAUGAGAGGAUGUUCCCGUGCGCCAGUCACGGCUACCAAAGGCAGGUAGAGCUUCUCACUGUAAUCCCAACAACAAAACCAGCUUCACUAAUAAUGAAAUCAGACACUU